AUGAAUUCACAAAUUCAAGACUUGGAAAAAAAAAAGGAAUUCCCUCCUAAUUAUUUCGGUCUAAAAUUUUUGUGCCUAAAUUAUAGCCUUCUUCAUCUAUUAGAUUGAACAGUAAGAUUAGAAAAUCAGAAACCCUACAAGCCUAAAGCUUUCAAAAUCAAUCAUUUAUAGAGAAGGAAAAUUUCUCAUUAAUUACUCAUGUGAAUCAACCUAAUAUCCCCAGAAGAAAGAUACGAGGCUUUAUAGCGGAUUCAUAUAGCUCAACGACUAAAUUACUCUUAUUAUGCUUUUGGACUGCACAGGUUCUUAAGGAGGGAGGAAUUGAAGACUAAGAGGAAAAAGAUUCUACCUGUAAAUUUAUGGAAUUAGAGCAGAAAUGACAAGCUAAAAUCGAUGUUGAUCGAUUUAAGGUGCACUUGGAGACCGGUAGAGGAGAGAGAGAAGAAGACUAUGCGAUUACGGAUCUCAAAGAAGAUGGUGUCAUAGAGGAAUUCCGUAUUGUGAAUGUAUUUUAAUUGAAAUUUAAAAUUAUGUGUAACUUGAAACAUGUUUUGGAAUCUAA